GUCUACGGCCAUACCACCCUGAACGCGCCCGGUCUCGUCUGAUCUCGGAAGCUAAGCAGGGUCGGGCCUGGUUAGUACUUGGAUGGGAGAAAACAAAAGCAAAGAAA
rnacentral:rRNA from 1 species